CUCCAGCUCCUGUACGAGAAGGAAACGGAGAACCAUUACGCAAAAAUCUCAAUGAUUUUGUUGGCGUUUGCCACGGAAUUUUCGACCUAUAAAUACCCCCAAACCUCCUCCGUUUUUGCUCCCCGAAAUCCCCAAUUUUUGCGCCGCCAGGCUGCGCGAAUUUCUCGCCGGAGUUCGACGCCGCCGCCGCCAUUGGAGCUCAGAACCGGAGGGCACUAGGACGCGAAGAAAACAUCGCCGGAGUUCGUCGCUGCUCGAGACGCUUCAACCGUCCGUCAUCACUGUUCGAGGAAGACCCAAACACCUCCUAGCACACCACCCUAACAGCCACGCCCAGCCGCGUCUCGUUCAUCAACUCGCCGCCCCAGAAGACUGUCGGAACGCCGUCGCCGUACGAACUCUCGCCGCUGCUAUAGUCUACUUUGUCCCCGACGUGAUUGCCCGGAUUGCAACGAGUGUGAUUGCGACGACUGUCUGAACACCGACCAAGG